UCUCUUCUCCCAAUUCUUCUAACCCUCAUCAUCUAUCCCAUAUUCUCAAUACUGCCGGCCCACUCUUUCAGAGGUUGUUACUCUGUCAUUUCCGGCCAUGCAAUGGGCAUGGAAUAUUGGAAUGGAAGGGAAGGGAUAUCUUCCCAACCAAUGGGUCGAACCCUCCGCGGCACAAUCAAUGUGUACUGCACUUUUAGUGUCAUCUAAAGGCUUUGAGAAGGUUUUAUCCAAAAGAUAAAAGGAAAGGAAGGUGAAGGAUGUAAUAUUUAUGGAUCGAUUGAAGUAAAUAAAGUUGCUGGAAUGUUUGAUUUUGCACUUGCGAAAAGCUUUCAGCGGCCAAAUGUGAAAGAUUUAGGAGAAGCUCUGUUUUGGUUGCUUGCCAAGAACAGAGUGGGUGUAAUGGGUACAUGAAACACCAAAUGGUAUGCACCAAUAUUUCAUCAAGUAUUCCGUGACAGAGCAUUUUUGGAGUUCCGAAUCGGGUUACUUUUUUGUCUCUUCCAGGAAUUUUCUUCUUUUAUGACAUUUCUCCAGUUAAGGUGACUUUCAAGGAGGAGCGUGUUCCUUUUUUACACUUUUUGACCAAUAUUUCUGCAAUAAUUGGAGGUACCG